rnacentral:rRNA from 1 species
UACGUAGGGUGCGAGCGUUGUCCGGAAUUAUUGGGCGUAAAGGGCUCGUAGGCGGUUUGUCGCGUCGGGAGUGAAAACGCCGUGCUUAACACGGCGCUUGCUUUCGAUACGGGCAGACUAGAGGUAUGCAGGGGAGAACGGAAUUCCUGGUGUAGCGGUGAAAUGCGCAGAUAUCAGGAGGAACACCGGUGGCGAAGGCGGGUCUCUGGGCCGAUACUGACGCUGAGGAGCGAAAGCGUGGGGAGCAAACAGG